rnacentral:tRNA from 1 species
GGGGAUGUGGCUCAAGUGGUAGAGCGCUUGCCUAGCAUGCAUGAGGCAUUGGGUUCGAUUCUCAGCACCACA